AAACGACACAUACAUGUACUCCCCUUCGUUUAAAUAUUUACCUAUGCAAAACGAAGAAAAACAAAAAGAAGAAGAAAAUUAAAGACGAGAUUCUCCUCGACCGUUAAGGCGUCAUUGUAUUUAUUGGGUUAUUCUAUUGUACCAUGUAAUUUAUUUAUUAUCAGUCCUUAGGACGUGAAUUAUUUUUCCACAACUGUCAAGAGCCAUUCUUUUCCAGGAUUCUUCCUCGCUCGGAACUUUCCGAUCUUCAGGGCCGCCGAAGAUCAUGGGGCGAUCGAUCAGGGUCGAAUGGGAUUUGCGUCAUCGGCUUGAGACUAAUUUCUGAAUAUUUCAUAAGCGGAGAUCAAUAUCCGCCAGCCUCCAUGAGCACACGAGCAUGAAAUGCUGAUGGAAGAACGAAGAGGUCUCCGGUAUCAAUCUUCAUGGAUUCGAGCUCGAGUCUUUUUCAUCCGGAGACUGAGAUUAACGCCGAAGAAGUAUUUCGAUGUCACAGGGUGAUUGAUCCUCUGCAUAAUUUCAAGAUCAUAGAUCCUCGGAUCAAGGUGCGUCAUUUGCGUUACCUCAUCCGAGUGGGUAAUGAGAAAAUGAAAUACAAAUUUUCCGUCAGUCCCGUUCCGCAGGAAAUCCGUGGGAUUUGUUCAGGAAUUCUCCCCGAUGUUUUCGCAAAGUCUCGCGUGUCAAUUGACAUUUCGUAAUCCGCCGAAUGUGGCUCUGCAGUGUCGACACCUCCGGCUAUGUCUGCAGUUGUGGCGAUUUAACGAGGUCGUUGUUGGCCCAAGUUAUGUUAGCCGAUCACGUAAUAGUCGUCGAAGGUAUACCUUGGACCUUGCCGGUCCUACAAAUGAAGGAAAUCGUCGCCUGACGUACCUUCGAAUCUGUCGAAAGUUGAGUCCUCUCUUCACACCUCGAAGAGUUCACAAGCAAAGGUACCCAAGAAAUAAUUUCCUUCGACCUUUUGCAACUUACGAAAAUUUUGAAAAAAUUCUUACCGAUAAAGAAAGCUCACCUAGAUCAAGAAAAAAAAAUAUACGAUACAAAAAGAAA